AAGCAGCACCCUCCAUGGCCUCUGCAUUAGCUCCUGCCUCCAGGUUCCUGCCCUGCUUGAGUUCCUGUCCUCACUUCCUUUGGUGAUGAACAUCGAUGUGGAAAUAUAUUCUAUGAAUCUUCCCAGGAACCUGUGACCAAAGGUCUAUUUCACAUCAGAUAGCCUACUCACCUGAGGGAAAGACACCUGCCUAAGAUCACAGGUCAAACCAGGCAUGGUUGUUUAUGCCUGUUCUCCAAACAUUAAGGAAGUAGACGCAGGAGGAUCCGAGUUCGAAACCAGCUCUGAAUGUACAGAGAAUUCGAGGCCAGCUGGGCCUACAGGACCCGUUUCUCAACAACCAACCAACCAUGGAAACCAGAGAAACUUUGAUCCUCAGAGAGAUCUAGAAGCCUGCUGAAGCCUGCAAGCAAGCCUACAACCUCCCUCAAGCUUCCUCGCCCUAAACCGGAGAGUCACCCCCUGAGCCUCCUUCCUGCUGGGGAACCCACUCCUUGGUCAGCAGUCUCCAAAUGAAGAAACCGGAAGAGCCAGAGCCGACUGAAGUGUGUCCAUGAGCAUGCGCAGCCCUCCGUGCGGCUGGCUUAACUCCUGCAUUUUCCGCAGCCCUUUCUCUGUACUCAUAGCUCAUAGGAAAGUCACGUUUUUGCUGUAGAAUUAAAGUUUAUGACAGCG
ensembl:lincRNA Gm3143 predicted gene 3143